rnacentral:rRNA from 1 species
UACGAAGGGGGCUAGCGUUGCUCGGAAUGACUGGGCGUAAAGGGCGUGUAGGCGGUUUUGACAGUCAGAUGUGAAAUCCCCGGGCUUAACCUGGGAGCUGCAUUUGAGACGUUAAGACUAGAGUGUGAGAGAGGGUUGUGGAAUUCCCCGUGUAGAGGUGAAGUUCGUAGAUAUUGGGAAGAACACCGAUGGCGAAGGCGGCAACCUGGCUAAUUACUGACGCUGAGGCGCGAAAGCGUGGGGAGCAAACAGG